rnacentral:misc_RNA from 1 species
GGCAAAUUUGAGGAUUUGUAAAGAAAUUAUGAGAGAAGUGCAGAAAAUAUGGAUGUGAUGAAGCUAUCUUUGGCUCUCUGCAUAAGAAAUAAAGUAGAUUAUUUCCUUUUAUCCUGUGAAGUAAUCGCUAGCAACAACUAUUAUUGAUGAACACCCUCAAUAUUCAAAUUAGAGACAUAACAUCUAAAUAUGGAAUUAGAUAUUUUAAUAACAAACAAGGUAGAAUUGAUAAUCAAUCAAAACACAAUAGUAGCUAGGCUAGAGC